rnacentral:rRNA from 1 species
UACGGAGGGGGCUAGCGUUGUUCGGAAUUACUGGGCGUAAAGCGUACGUAGGCGGCUUCGCAAGUCAGAGGUGAAAGCCUGGAGCUCAACUCCAGAAUUGCCUUUGAGACUGCGUCGCUUGAUCACGGGAGAGGUGAGUGGAAUUCCGAGUGUAGAGGUGAAAUUCGUAGAUAUUCGGAAGAACACCAGUGGCGAAGGCGGCUCACUGGACCGUAGAUGACGCUGAGGUACGAAAGCGUGGGGAGCAAACAGG